UACCAGCACCCCGAGUGGUCGGGACGAUUAUUGGGCCUAAAGCAUCCGUAGCCGGUUUUACAAGUCCUCCGUUAAAUCCAACUGCUUAACAGAUGGGCUGCGGAGGAUACUAUAAGACUAGGAGGCAGGAGAGGCAAGCGGUACUCAGUGGGUAGGGGUAAAAUCCGUUGAUCCAUUGAAGACCACCAGUGGCGAAGGCGGCUUGCCAGAAUGCGCUCGACGGUGAGGGAUGAAAGCUGGGGGGAGCAAACCGG
rnacentral:rRNA from 1 species